ACCAGCAGAGUGACCUCCCUCUAUAGGGGCUCAGCUGCCUGGAUGAUGACAGUUUGCUAGGGGCAAAAGAGAACCUUGGCUUAACACUGUCACAACCUUGAGGAUCCUUUAAGUGUGGUCCUCUGCCGAGCCUCAUGGCCAUCAGCUGAGUCUCAGGGGCCAGCCCAGACCUACCAAAUCAGAAUGUGCAUUAUGGAUCCUCAGAUCACAUGGCUACUAAAGGUCACAUGGAGCUGAGACUCUCCCAGAUCUUCUGACCUCAGAGCCCAAGACAAGCCUCAAACCUCAAACCUCAAACAGAAAGGAAGCCAGGAGGUGGAAUACCCAUCAGCAACCCAGCAGGACAUGAUGUAACAACUGCUGAAGGCUUGUCAGACAGAAAUGAAUUUCAUCAGAAAAGGAACCUAAAGCUCUAUGAAGUUAGAAGGUAGCUUGUGAAGAAGUGGAGAGCUCUGCUGAGUCUGACCAUACCAACCUGCCAGACAUUCACCACCAGUGACCACAUCAGAUUGGACUGGGCCUCAGAUGCCGGAAGGGGAUGUUGCCUACAGAAUGCAUCCCUGUCUACAGAUCAAAGGUGCCAAAAAGUAAAACACAG